AUGCUCUUUUUUAUGAAGAAACGCAUGUUCCUGUCUAACAGCGAGAGAGAGAUGGAGAAGCCCUGUCACAAGCAGGCAGCUAUGUCGGAUCUAUGAAAAGGACACAUUCAUUAAACCAUUCUGCGGGGGAGAGAUGUUUUAACGGAAGAUGCGAAGCACAGCCCAGAGUAUGUUCGCACUGCUGGACAUGUGUGUAUGGGAAUCCGACGACUAUUAGUCCACUCAGCUUUGGGAUGUGGAGACAUUGUUCCAUACAAGGUCCAAAGUGCAUUUUCAAAACAAAGGGCCAUGUAAGAUCAAUCAAGCAAACAAAUCUCUAUCCAUAUUAUCUUAAUUUAGAGCAAUUAUCAGAUCACCUUUCUCUUCUCCAUAAAUAUCAAACCAGAAGCUGAACCCUAAUGAUCAUCACACAGACACGAAAAAAAAAAAAACCACUUCCCUCAGGUUAACCACACUCCAGCUCAUGUUCCACAUAUUAGAUGGAGACAUUAAUAAAUGAACUCAACACAGCA
ensembl:lncRNA